GUCAUAUGAAAUUUUUAAAUAAAAAGACGGAACUACAGAUAUUAAAUAUGUAUUAAAAAAUGAUGGCUACGUAGAUCCAUUACAUAAAGUAGUGUGCUAUACGUCGGAUUUUUUACACCAUCCAUGAUGCACAAAGAAAUUAGAUAAGAGUUGCAUCCCAGGGUAAAAAUAUGCUGCAGGAGAGGGGAGAAGCUUGAGAAUUAUUCGGCAAAAUAUGAUAAGUAAUAAUCUAAAUUAUUAAAUUAAAAAAUUAAAUAAAAUCUAGAAGGAAUGUAGAAAUAAAUUUUAAAAUCUAAAGACGAUGGGG
rnacentral:lncRNA from 1 species